rnacentral:sRNA from 1 species
GGUGAACCUGCGGAAGGAUCAUUACCGAUGUGAAAAAAUCCAAGGUUAAACAUCAUUAACCAGUGUGAACUGUACAACAACUCUUUAGGGGUCGGCACAGGCGUGUGUCGUUAAAUGGCGGAUAGGUUCCUUCCGCCAGCCCCGCCAUUGUGUUUAUGAUAUCACUUUGAACGUUUAAGACUGAGAACGUAUGUAUCAUGCAUUAAAUGUAUGAGAAAGAAGGAAAGAAAAAUGAGAGACAACUUUUGACGGUGGAUCUCUUGGCUCACGUAUCGAUGAAGAACGCAGCCAGCUGCGAUAUGUAGUGUGAAUUGCAGAAUUCAGUGAAUCAUUGAAUCUUUGAACGCAAAUGGCGCUCUUGGGUUCUCCCAGGAGCAUGUCUGUCUGAGUGUCGGAUUUUAUCGAACGCACUCGUGAGUGCGGUAUUGAGGUGUCACGGCGUGUUAGCAAGCAAGCAAGCAUUAAAUCGCCGUGUCCCUUGAAGGACAGCAGCAUUGGACUCGCAUUCUCUAUUGAAACUUGAGUGCGAAGGCUAAAGAUAAUAUUUUCCUUCGCCCAAGCAUGCAAUAGCAGAAACAAAAUCCAAUCAAAGCGGUGACAGACAAUGACAACAUCAAAUCUUGACCUCAGAUCAGGCAAGGCUACCCGCUGA